rnacentral:rRNA from 1 species
AGGAUGAACGCUGGCGGCGUGCCUAACACAUGCAAGUCGAACGUCCUGUCUCGCAAGAGGCAGGGAGUGGCGGACGGGUGAGUACCACGUGGGUUAUCUACCGUGAGGUGAGGAAUACCGGCGAGAAAUCGCCGACAAGACCGCAUAGCCUCGGUGCAAGUCGAGGAAAGCUCUCUCGAGAGAGGGAGCGCCACACGAGGAGCCUGCGCCCGAUUAGCUAGCUGGUGGAGUAAUGGUUCACCAGGGCGACGAUCGGUAGCUGGUCUGAGAGGAUGGUCAGCCACACUGGGACUGCGAACGGCCCAGACUCCUACGGGAGGCAGCAGUUAGGAAUUUUCGGCAAUGGACGAAAGUCUGACCGAGCGACGCCGCGUGGAGGAUGACGCCUUUCGGGGUGUAAACUCCUUUUCUGCGGGAAGAUAAUGACGGUACCGCAGGAAUAAGCACCGGCUAACUACGCGCCAGCAGCCGCGGU